AAAAACUGAAUCAAUCCAUUAGAAUACUGCAAACAGGAAAACGUAAACGUACUGCAACUAGACAAUUUGACGUCAGAAACUCGUCUUACUGUCCUUUUGACAAUGAUACCGAUAGAAGGGAUUUGUUGAAGAUCAUCAAUGCCAAGAUCAAGAUGUAGUGACAAUGCAACAUCGAUAGAAUUUGAUUACGCAACGUCAUUUGCGAGACAGACCUUCGGCCGCAACGUCAACUGCUAAUCAAAUUGCUGAACGCCAUUUUGCACAGGUUUAUG
rnacentral:lncRNA from 1 species